rnacentral:rRNA from 1 species
UUCCAGACUCCUACGGGAGGCAGCAGUGAGGAAUAUUGGUCAAUGGCCGCAGGGCUGAACCAGCCAAGUCGCGUGAGGGAUGACGGUCCUAUGGAUUGUAAACCUCUUUUGUCAGGGAGCAAAGGGCGCCACGUGUGGCGUUUUGCGAGUACCUGAAGAAAAAGCAUCGGCUAACUCCGUGCCAGCAGCCGCGGUAAUACGUAGGUGGCGAGCGUUAUCCGGAUUUAUUGGGCGUAAAGCGUGCGCAGGCGGUUUGUUAGGUCUAAAAUUAAAGUCCGAAGCUUAACUUCGGUUCGUUUUAGAAACCGGCAGGCUUGAGUAUGGUAGAGGCAAACGGAAUUUCUAGUGUAGCGGUAAAAUGCGUAGAUAUUAGAAGGAACACCAGUGGCGAAGGCGGUUUGCUGGGCCAUUACUGACGCUCAUGCACGAAAGCGUGGGGAGCAAAUAGGAUUAGAUACCCUGGUAC